CACAUUUCAUCGCCACUCACUGAUUUGCCCAAAGAUCUUCCCUUUUGCAAGCUCCAUUCAUGAACACAAAUGAAAAUGAACUUGGAGUCCCUGUGGCCUGGCUUGUCUAUUGCUACUACCUCCCCUCUCACGGACAAAUUCUAGUGUGCUCAGGUGUGAUGCGCGACUUCAGAGGCUCAAGGCUCUGAUUGCUGGGCCAAUGAUCAAAUCGUUUUGUCUGGAAAUCCAGCUGUCUCAUACAUGAGUCUGGACUAUUGAAGCCAACUGGCUGGUAUGACCAUGAGAACGUCACCUUAUUGCUGUGUUCUUCUUUCCAUCUCUCUUCCAGGCUAUGGGGAAUUAUUAUAUACAGCUUGAAGUAUAGUGAAGUAGGAAAAGAAAGAUUGUUUUGGAACUUCAAAAUGAUGUAAUUUACUUCCAUCCUGCCAUGGAACAUUCCACCAUGUGUUUGUGGGGUAUUCACUUUUACUUUCCCCUCUCCAUCCUUCAUCAGGUGUUUUUUCUUUCAGCAUGAGAAAGUAUUAUUUUUAUUUUUUUGAGAUGGAGUUUUGCUCUUGUCUUGAGAUUACAGGCAUGAGCCACUGCACCCGGCCUAGAAUGUAUCAUUUUUAUAUAAAACGGGCUGCAACAAAUUAACUCUGCUUUAUUAUUAUUAUUAGAGAGAGAGUGUCUCACUGUGAUAACCAGGCUGGAGUGCAGUGUCACGAUCUUGGCUCCACAACCUCUGCCUCCUGGGCUCAGCCUCCCAAAUAGCUGAGACGACUGGUGCACACCACCACUUUCAGCUAAUUUUUAAAGGUUUUUGUCGAGACAAGGUCACACUAUAUUGCCCAGGCUGGUCUUGAACUCCCAGACUCAUGUGAUCCUCCCCUCCCUUCUCAGCCUCCCAAAGUGCUGGGAUUACAGGAAUGAGCUAUUGUGCCCUGCUUUAAUUGUAACUUAAGUCUCCAAAGUGGAAUGAAGAAUGAACGCAAAAUUUGCUUUAUAAUAAGGGAGAAAAAAAGAACUAACCAACUAUAGAUAAUCUUUACAUUUCUUCCUCUAUUCGUUUGUGUACACUGUCUAUUUUACUUAAAGGAAAAGUUCUCUUUUUUUUUUUUUUGAGACGGAGUUUCACUCCUGUUACCCAGGCUGGAGUGCAAUGGUGUGAUCUCGGCUCACCGCAACCUCUGCCUCCUGGGUUCAGGC
rnacentral:lncRNA from 13 species